rnacentral:rRNA from 1 species
AGGACGAACGCUGGCGGCGUGCUUAACACAUGCAAGUCGAGCGGUAAGGCCUUUCGGGGUACACGAGCGGCGAACGGGUGAGUAACACGUGGGUGAUCUGCCCUGCACUUCGGGAUAAGCCUGGGAAACUGGGUCUAAUACCGGAUAUGACUUCAGGUUGCAUGACUUGGGGUGGAAAGAUUUAUCGGUGCAGGAUGGGCCCGCGGCCUAUCAGCUUGUUGGUGGGGUAAUGGCCUACCAAGGCGACGACGGGUAGCCGACCUGAGAGGGUGACCGGCCACACUGGGACUGAGACACGGCCCAGACUCCUACGGGAGGCAGCAGUGGGGAAUAUUGCACAAUGGGCGAAAGCCUGAUGCAGCGACGCCGCGUGAGGGAUGACGGCCUUCGGGUUGUAAACCUCUUUCAGCAGGGACGAAGCGCAAGUGACGGUACCUGCAGAAGAAGCACCGGCUAACUACGUGCCAGCAGCCGC